rnacentral:misc_RNA from 1 species
AACAGUUGCAUUGCUGAAGGCCUGCAGUUAAACAACAGUUAACAAAAUAGAAACUGUGAAUCACCAGUAUCCUAUAAAGGUUAGAAAGCAGUGUUUAUGCUAAUCAUUCUGGAUAACCAAAAAUAAAGAAAUACAUAAACAACAUUCAAUUAAGGGGGGGGGAAAAAGAAGAUAUUUGAUCGAAAAAAACCAAGAAAAAGAAAAAUCGGAAUAUCAGAAAAUAUAACUUUAAUACAAUGAUUAUAAAUAAAGUAACUAGCCCAUAAUAAUAGUUUGCAAAACCUAGGUAUUGCAUUCAUCUCCAAACAGCAAUACAAGCAGUCUUCCCAACAUAGCAAUCAUGAAGACACAAACUCCACAUUAUUUGCACAAGAGACAUGAAAUGGCACCAGAAUAUUUAGCCUGUGACAUUGACAGCCUCAAUUGAACCAUGAAAUCUCUUGAAGAUCAUUUUAUAUUUGUUAAACAAGCCAAAUUGAGCCCAAUAAUAUUGAGUUCAAAUGGAGCAGAAAUCUUUCUUAACUGCAUUAAAAUCGCUAGCUGGAUGAUCGCUGACGCAAGCCAACGACAUCCAAAUUGAAUUUUCUUCCUACCAAAAAUGAAAUAGAACAUACGUAAUACACAUUCUGCUGUAUGACGCAUUUAAACUUCAAUAUUUGCAGUAUGUACCUACGACAGAACAAUGACAUGCAUGUAGUUGUAGAGACAACUGGUAAAUAAAUCACUCUUUUCAUAAUGCAUCAUAUUCUCAUUUAUGGACCACAAUUGAACAUUUUCAAAUUGCCAAAAGAUGAAAAACAAAUUAAUAUGAUAUUGUAUGCAGAUCCAAGGAAACAAAUGAGGAUAAUUCAGUGCAUACAACUGAAAUUAUAAAUCAGGGUAUGAUCAACUCAACCAUGUCUCAGUCCCAAACUACAGAGAGUCCAUGAAACAAACCCUUUUUAUUUACCGAGGAACAUUUUCAAGAGCCAUUCUACAGACAUUCAACACCUACAAUUACAACCAACAGCAUGAUAGAUGUUUCUCUGGCUCCUUGUGCAUGUAGCGACCACACAAAAAGUAAAGUAUGGAGAAAGCAAAUAGGUGCAAAUUUGAUGUAGAAGCACUUGCACAACAAACAGUGUUAUCAAGGCAAGAGGCGGCACCAAGGCAAUAGAGUACCCUAUGGCCUUAGAUUAGAGGCGAGGCGAGAGUCUUUUUGAAGGGAGGCGCCAUAGCUUAAAUUGCCUAAAUUAUAUAUAUACGUAUAUACUUUUAACAAAAAUAUGUCAUACUUUUGACUAGUUUAAUAAAUAAAAAAACAUAUUACACAAGACUU